GAUCAGUGAUAGCAGCACACCUUCUUCCCAGCUGACUUGUUGUCAGAUAUGGUUCUGGUUCACCAAUGCAAAGUGAAAAAAUCGAAGAAAGAGUAUCAAGGAAGAUGACAAGGCUCUGCCCCCCUGUACUGCACUGUUUGGAGACUUGGGUACCUGGGGAUAUUGUGGAGGCAUGAGAGAUCGACAAAAUUGAAAAGAUAGCAAAUGGAUUUUUAUUAGAAAGGAUUAUGAUCAAGCUGCAACUUGAUGCACAUACUAAAGUUCUUGGAGAAAUUAAUGGUUUAGCCACUGAAGGAAAAAAUAGAGGACAAGAGUCUUAUUUAAUCUCAUCAAGAUCCCUAAAGAGAAUGUCUCCUUAUUGCACAUCUGGUGUUGAUUCACUUUAUGGGAAUGCUCAGAAAUUUCAAGCAAUCCAGACAGAUAAUCGCAGGCAACAAGCUGCUCUGGUGACCUUACAUGAAUUUCGUUAAUUGGUAUUGUUAAGUCCAACUCCAUUAUCGAUAAGAGUUUUCACGAAAAAUUGAUUCCUAAAGUUAUGUCAUCUUUUAGAUCCAUAUUACCUUGUGUUGUUGGAAAGCUAUAUUACUUUAACAUUAUGGCUCAUGUAGUAACUCCGUAAUCUUCUA